GAACGAACGCUGGCGGCGUGGCUAAGACAUGCAAGUCGAACGAACUGGCUAAUGAGCAAUCGAAAGGCCAGUUAGUGGCGAAAGGGUUAGGUAAUGGAUAGGUAACGUACCCUGUGCUUCGGGAUAGCGUCGCUUGCCGAAAGGCAAGCUACCGAAAGGGGCAUUAAUACCGAAUAAUAUCAGGUACCGGCGGGUGCCUGCUCAAAGAUUUAUCGGCGCAGGAGCGGCCUAUCUCCUAUCAGCUUGUUGGUGAGGUAACAGCCCACCAAGGCUAUGACGGGUAGCGGGACUGAGAGGUUGGCCCGCAACAUCGGAACUGAGAUACUGUCCGGACCUCCACGGAGGGCUGCAGUAACGAAUCUUGCGCAAUGGGCGAAAGCCUGACGCAAGCGACGCCGCGUGUGGGAGGAAGUCCUUUGGGAUGUAAACCACUGUCAGGGGGCAAAAAGUCCGUUUCGGCGGAUUGAUUUAACCCAAAGGAAGUCACGGCUAACUCUGUGCCAGCAGCCGC
rnacentral:rRNA from 1 species